rnacentral:rRNA from 1 species
UACGUAGGUGGCAAGCGUUAUCCGGGUUUACUGGGUGUAAAGGGGGCGCAGACGGCGAUGCAAGCCAGGAGUGAAAGCCCGGGGCCCAACCCCGGGACUGCUCUUGGAACUGCGUGGCUGGAGUGCAGGAGGGGCAGGCGGAAUUCCUGGUGUAGCGGUGAAAUGCGUAGAUAUUAGGAGGAACACCAGUGGCGAAGGCGGCUUACUGGACUGUAACUGACGUUGAGGCUCGAAAGCAUGGGGAGCAAACAGG